GAUGAAGAACGUAGCGAAAUGCGAUAAGUAAUGUGAAUUGCAGAAUUCAGUGAAUCAUCGAAUCUUUGAACGCACAUUGCGCCCGCCAGUAUUCUGGCGGGCAUGCCUGUCUGAGCGUCAUUUCAACCCUCAAGCAACUUCUGCUUGGUGUUGGGGAUCGGCCGUCAAACGCCGCCCCCGAAAUCUAUUGGCGAUCUCGCUGUAGCUUCCUAUGCGUAGUAGUAGCAUCUCGCAUCUGGAGAGCGGCGCGGUCAUGCCGUAAAACACCCAACUUCUCAGGUUGACCUCAGAUCAGGUAGGAAUACCCGCUGAACUUAAGCAUAUCAAUAAGCGGAGGA
rnacentral:misc_RNA from 1 species